GGAACCUGUGAUUCAGGAUCACACUAGUCCCCAGGCCUCAAACUCCUGACCUCAGGUGAUCCACCCGCUUCAGCCUCCCAAAGUGCUGGGAUUACAGGUUUCUGUCCUGAGACCACAGCAGAAUGUGCCUUGGACAAAGAGUCUCGCUCUGUCUCCCAGGCUGGAGUGCAGUGGCACAAUCUUGGCUCA